GGUUAAGCGACUAAGCGUACACGGUGGAUGCCCUGGCAGUCAGAGGCGAUGAAGGACGUGCUAAUCUGCGAUAAGCGUCGGUAAGGUGAUAUGAACCGUUAUAACCGGCGAUUUCCGAAUGGGGAAACCCAGUGUGAUUCGUCACACUAUCAUUAACUGAAUCCAUAGGUUAAUGAGGCGAACCGGGGGAACUGAAACAUCUAAGUACCCCGAGGAAAAGAAAUCAACCGAGAUUCCCCCAGUAGCGGCGAGCGAACGGGGAGCAGCCCAGAGCCUGAAUCAGUGUGUGUGUUAGUGGAAGCGUCUGGAAAGGCGUGCGAUACAGGGUGACAGCCCCGUACACAAAAAUGCACAUAUUGUGAGCUCGAUGAGUAGGGCGGGACACGUGGUAUCCUGUCUGAAUAUGGGGGGACCAUCCUCCAAGGCUAAAUACUCCUGACUGACCGAUAGUGAACCAGUACCGUGAGGGAAAGGCGAAAAGAACCCCGGCGAGGGGAGUGAAAAAGAACCUGAAACCGUGUACGUACAAGCAGUGGGAGCACGCUUAGGCGUGUGACUGCGUACCUUUUGUAUAAUGGGUCAGCGACUUAUAUUCUGUAGCAAGGUUAACCGAAUAGGGGAGCCGAAGGGAAACCGAGUCUUAACUGGGCGUUAAGUUGCAGGGUAUAGACCCGAAACCCGGUGAUCUAGCCAUGGGCAGGUUGAAGGUUGGGUAACACUAACUGGAGGACCGAACCGACUAAUGUUGAAAAAUUAGCGGAUGACUUGUGGCUGGGGGUGAAAGGCCAAUCAAACCGGGAGAUAGCUGGUUCUCCCCGAAAGCUAUUUAGGUAGCGCCUCGUGAAUUCAUCUCCGGGGGUAGAGCACUGUUUCGGCAAGGGGGUCAUCCCGACUUACCAACCCGAUGCAAACUGCGAAUACCGGAGAAUGUUAUCACGGGAGACACACGGCGGGUGCUAACGUCCGUCGUGAAGAGGGAAACAACCCAGACCGCCAGCUAAGGUCCCAAAGUCAUGGUUAAGUGGGAAACGAUGUGGGAAGGCCCAGACAGCCAGGAUGUUGGCUUAGAAGCAGCCAUCAUUUAAAGAAAGCGUAAUAGCUCACUGGUCGAGUCGGCCUGCGCGGAAGAUGUAACGGGGCUAAACCAUGCACCGAAGCUGCGGCAGCGACGCUUAUGCGUUGUUGGGUAGGGGAGCGUUCUGUAAGCCUGCGAAGGUGUGCUGUGAGGCAUGCUGGAGGUAUCAGAAGUGCGAAUGCUGACAUAAGUAACGAUAAAGCGGGUGAAAAGCCCGCUCGCCGGAAGACCAAGGGUUCCUGUCCAACGUUAAUCGGGGCAGGGUGAGUCGACCCCUAAGGCGAGGCCGAAAGGCGUAGUCGAUGGGAAACAGGUUAAUAUUCCUGUACUUGGUGUUACUGCGAAGGGGGACGGAGAAGGCUAUGUUGGCCGGGCGACGGUUGUCCCGGUUUAAGCGUGUAGGCUGGUUUUCCAGGCAAAUCCGGAAAACUAAGGCUGAGGCGUGAUGACGAGGCACUACGGUGCUGAAGCAACAAAUGCCCUGCUUCCAGGAAAAGCCUCUAAGCAUCAGGUAACAUCAAAUCGUACCCCAAACCGACACAGGUGGUCAGGUAGAGAAUACCAAGGCGCUUGAGAGAACUCGGGUGAAGGAACUAGGCAAAAUGGUGCCGUAACUUCGGGAGAAGGCACGCUGAUAUGUAGGUGAAGCGACUUGCUCGUGGAGCUGAAAUCAGUCGAAGAUACCAGCUGGCUGCAACUGUUUAUUAAAAACACAGCACUGUGCAAACACGAAAGUGGACGUAUACGGUGUGACGCCUGCCCGGUGCCGGAAGGUUAAUUGAUGGGGUUAGCGCAAGCGAAGCUCUUGAUCGAAGCCCCGGUAAACGGCGGCCGUAACUAUAACGGUCCUAAGGUAGCGAAAUUCCUUGUCGGGUAAGUUCCGACCUGCACGAAUGGCGUAAUGAUGGCCAGGCUGUCUCCACCCGAGACUCAGUGAAAUUGAACUCGCUGUGAAGAUGCAGUGUACCCGCGGCAAGACGGAAAGACCCCGUGAACCUUUACUAUAGCUUGACACUGAACAUUGAGCCUUGAUGUGUAGGAUAGGUGGGAGGCUUUGAAGUGUGGACGCCAGUCUGCAUGGAGUCGACCUUGAAAUACCACCCUUUAAUGUUUGAUGUUCUAACGUUGACCCGUGAUCCGGGUUGCGGACAGUGUCUGGUGGGUAGUUUGACUGGGGCGGUCUCCUCCUAAAGAGUAACGGAGGAGCACGAAGGUUGGCUAAUCCUGGUCGGACAUCAGGAGGUUAGUGCAAUGGCAUAAGCCAGCUUGACUGCGAGCGUGACGGCGCGAGCAGGUGCGAAAGCAGGUCAUAGUGAUCCGGUGGUUCUGAAUGGAAGGGCCAUCGCUCAACGGAUAAAAGGUACUCCGGGGAUAACAGGCUGAUACCGCCCAAGAGUUCAUAUCGACGGCGGUGUUUGGCACCUCGAUGUCGGCUCAUCACAUCCUGGGGCUGAAGUAGGUCCCAAGGGUAUGGCUGUUCGCCAUUUAAAGUGGUACGCGAGCUGGGUUUAGAACGUCGUGAGACAGUUCGGUCCCUAUCUGCCGUGGGCGCUGGAGAACUGAGGGGGCUGCUCCUAGUACGAGAGGACCGGAGUGGACGCAUCACUGGUGUUCGGGUUGUCAUGCCAAUGGCACUGCCCGGUAGCUAAAUGCGGAAGAGAUAAGUGCUGAAAGCAUCUAAGCACGAAACUUGCCCCGAGAUGAGUUCUCCCUGACUCCUUGAGAGUCCUGAAGGAACGUUGAAGACGACGACGUUGAUAGGCCGGGUGUGUAAGCGCAGCGAUGCGUUGAGCUAACCGGUACUAAUGAACCGUGAGGCUUAACCUU
rnacentral:rRNA from 1 species